GGUCCCAGCCUUGAAAUCAGUUGUUACUUUAUUUAUACAUGCAAGUAUCCGCACCCCUGUGAAAACGCCCUUUUACCCUAACAGGGACAAGGAGCUGGUAUCAGGCACAACACAUAGCCCAAGACACCUAGCCAUGCCACACCCAUAAGGGAAAUCAGCAGUAAUUAACAUUGAACAUAAGCGCCAGCUUGAUUCAGUCAAAGUAAUAAGGGCAGGCAAAUACGGUGCCAGCCGCCGCGGUUAUACCAUGAGGCCCAAAUUGAUUUCUUUCGGCGUAAAGCGUGAUUAAAGAAACAUUAAACUGUAGUUUAACUAACAUUAAGUCGUAAUAAGCUUACACUUAAGAGACCCAUAAACGAAAGUCACUACACCUAAAACAACUUGAACUCACCACAGCUGAGGCACAAACUGGGAUUAGAGACCCCACUAUGCUCAGCCCCAAACUUUUAAUUACACCCAAAACGCCCGGGAACUACGAGCAAAGCUUAAAACCCAAAGGACUUGACGGUGCCCCACAUCCCCCUAGAGGAGCCUGUCCUACAAUCGAUAACCCCCGCUUAACCUCACCAUCUUUUGCCAACCAGUCUGUAUACCUCCGUCGUCAGCUUACCGCAUGAGUGACUAAGAGUAAGUCUAAUGUCCACUACCGUCAAUACGUCAGGUCAAGGUGCAACUAAUGAGAUGGGAAGAGAUGGGCUACACUCUCUAACAUAGAAAAUACUAAAAACUAACUGAAAACUAGUUUAAAGGCGGAUUUAGCAGUAAGAAAGGUUAGAGCACCUAUCUUAACCAGGCACUGGGGUGUGUACACACCGCCCGUCACCCUCUUCGGAGCUCUAACAACAGUAUGUAACCAAAUGGUGCAUCGUAGAAGAGGUAAGUCGUAACAUGGUAAGUAUACCGGAAGGUGUGCUUGGAAA
rnacentral:ncRNA from 1 species